UAAAAAUGAAAGUUAAGAAGACAAAAGAAGAUAAAGAGAGAGACAGAAAUCGAGCUGAGCUUUUGGAAUUUUUAAAUUCAGCCUUGUAACAGAGGUGGAACCAGACCAUUAAUCUGAUCAUCUGUACCUCUGAAAAUGUCAUACCAUUGGAUUACAGUGUCUCCACAAAUGUCAGUGAGCAUAAAAAGAAAUGUGUUAGAGCACUGAAAGCAGUGAAGUGGAAUGAGAAUGGAAAAGUGACCAUGGCAUGUUCCUGUCAGUAGAAAGAAACACUUUCUAAAAAGAUUUCAUUAUAGCAGGAAUUAGUAUAAAACUUAGAAAUUAAAUUUGAAUGCAUUUUGUCUUGUCUGUAAACUUAAAUUUCAAGGCAAAUGCAAUAACAGCUAGUUAAUUGUUAGACCUCCUUAGUUAGAAGACAAGUCAUUUUGUGCCAUUGUGAGUAUAUAGUGGGUAUUUUCAAUGAGACCUGUUUCUAAACCAGUUUUUCUGUUGCCUCAGAAAUUAAAAUUUCAAAGAACAGAUAGAAGGCAGGCAUUUAGCACAUGGAUAGGCACUUAGCACUAAGAAGCGGUGUUGUACACAGUAAAGUACUCACAAAUCAAAAUUUUGGUCACUAGAGAUAUCUAUGGCAAUGUUUAUAUUUAAAAAAAAAUGCAUAUAUAUGUAUUUGUCUUUUACUUGAUCCCUUUUCACCAUUACAGUGGCUGUAUCCUGCUUACA